rnacentral:rRNA from 1 species
UACGUAGGGACCGAGCGUUGUCCGGAUUCAUUGGGCGUAAAGGGUGCGUAGGCGGCGCGGUAAGUCGGGUGUGAAAUCUCGGAGCUUAACUCCGAAACUGCAUUCGAUACUGCCGUGCUUGAGGACUGGAGAGGAGACUGGAAUUUACGGUGUAGCGGUGAAAUGCGUAGAUAUCAGGAAGAACACCAAUGGCGAAGGCAGCUCUCUGGGACGGUACUGACGCUGAGACGCGAAAGCGUGGGAGCGAACAGG